CAAUAGCUAAAGUGAUUGUGACC
rnacentral:miRNA from 1 species